CUCUUCCCAGAUCUAUGAAGGAGGACAUGGCAGGCUGAUUCUCAUGAGGGCACACCUCUUCAAACAUCACCCGCAUGGUCUCAAAAGUGGAGUACUGGGCGGCGAUCUGGCUGUCGAUGUGCAGCGACCGGUCCAGGAUCUCGCCCAUGGUGUCUGUGUUGAUGAUGGAGUGGUGCUUGGUCAGGUCUCGGUGCAGCUCCUGCACCUGGUCCUUCAGAUUCUGAAUCUCAGUCUGGAGAGUCUGGAUGUGCGCACACACACACACACACACACACACACACACACUCAUACUUGAGACAGAGUUUUGACAGCUGCACGCAUGACAGGUGAGGUGAAGCUGGGAAAAAGCCUUUGCCCGCUGGACAGGAUGAGAAGGAGUUCCCAGAUGACUUGUGCUUGCUGCCUUUGUGCCUUUGUCUUUACUGGUUUCUGCAGUGCUCAGCGAAGGGUGUUUCCCCGCCCUCAGCCAGCAGGACUUUGGUGCAGAUGUAGCGGUGCGAGGUGGGCCUCCGCCCCAGCACCGAGCCCAGGGGCGC